UCCUUCUUCUUUCUCUGUCUAUUUUUAUUCUCUCCAAAUCCUUCUAAAUCUUUACUGUCAAUCUUCCUUUUCUGCUGAACGUAUGUAAUUACUAUCGCCCAUUGUAACAAUUCUGGGAGAACGAGAAGAAGAAUGGGGUUUGUGGUUGAAGAACAAAACUUAGGGUUUCUGAAAAGAGAUUGAUUGCUAACAAAUUUUUUCAUGCAGAGACUUUAUAAUUGCUGUGUAACAAAAGUGAUGAAUUAAAGAGACGAAUUUGGUGGUUGGUUUUAACUAAUAUUUUUGUUGUUGUUUCAAUUUGAGUUUGAAACUGGUGAUUGCUAUUAAGGUUCUUAAACAAUCUCGUAAUUAGAAGAAAUUGAUCAAUUAAUUGAGGGUUUUUACUUUGAACUAUUUCCCUUGAUUAAUAUCGAGUAGAAUUGAAGAGGAAGUGAGUCUAUUGAGUUACUGAAAUUUGGGUUUCCGAGUAUGGAAUAAAUUAGUGUUCGAAAUUGAAAUUGAGAUCUGAAGAAGAUGGGUUUUGGUGAUUGACUGUUUCUGCAGUUGAUAAGAAGGGAGAUACAAGUGAUGACGUUAGGAGAUAGGUACCUCGUGAAGCUGUAAAGGGAAUUAGAAGAUUGAAGCUGAGAAUAAAAGGGAAUUGGAAGAGAAUGUAUGGAUAUUGAUAUGUGAGAAAGGUUAUUACAGAGAAAUUAGAAGGAAAAUUGGGGUCCGUGUGCUCGAUUUUGGGAAUGAAUUUGAUGCUGACUAGACGUGAAGAUGGGGGGUUGCAAUUGAUUGAAGCUGGGGUUCGAUGAGGUACUAAACAAAUUCAAGUUUGAUAUAAACUCUGUUGAAAUGGUUAGCUUGUUAGGGUUUAAGAAAAAAGCUGAGUAUUGAGAUGAGCCAGACACAGACGUGAUUUGUUGUUGCUGAAGUUUGGAGCAGACAAAAAUGAUAUAGGUUAUAGCCGUGAAAAAUGGUGGCAGCUGGUAUUUGUAAUGAAUUAAGUUUAUCUUUAGCAGGAUGCAUUGAAGCUGUUCGUAAAAAUGAAUGGAGUAAUACUCAUUCAGCCUUCGAACUUACCUUUUCAUUUGAGUGCAAUUUAUAUGUGUUUGAGAUAAUUAAUGGGAUUAGGUCAUAAUUUGAUGUUCUCA